UUUGUUUACAGUGACUUACUGAAUAUCUGCUUUUAUUUUGGGUAUUCAAAAGGGUCAAUAUAAGCGGAAGAAUUGGCUUUAUCUUGAUUUGUACACUGACGACAAUAAAUUUAAAGUGACUUACUGAAUAUCUGCUUUUAUUUUGGGUGUUCAAAAGGGUCAAUAUAAGCGGAAGAAUUGGCUUUAUCUUGAUUUGUACACUGACGACAAUAAAUUUAAAGUGACUUACUGAAUAUCUGCUUUUAUUUUGGGUGUUCAAAAGGGUCAAUAUAAGCGGAAGAAUUGGCUUUAUCUUGAUUUGUACACUGACGACAAUAAAUUUAAAGUGACUUAUUGAAUAUCUGCUUUUAUUUUGGGUGUUCAAAAGGGUCAAUAUAAGCGGAAGAAUUGGCUUUAUCUUGAUUUGUACACUGACGACAAUAAAUUUAAAGUGACUUACUGAAUAUCUGCUUUUAUUUUGGGUGUUCAAAAGGGUCAAUAUAAGCGGAAGAAUUGGCUUUAUCUUGAUUUGUACACUGACGACAAUAAAUUUAAAGCUCGAUACUUGGCCAUUUCCGGGUUCACAAAGCUCGAUAAAUUUUCAAGUGGCUUGGAGAUUAUGGUGGCCACUAGAGGUCUGCAUUCAAAUCAAAUCAUUUAAAUCGACCGUUAAUUAUUGAAUUUUGGGGACUGAUAAUUCUGUCGUUAGGCGCCGCUCGACCGC
rnacentral:sRNA from 1 species